CAGAUGUUGGUAGGUAAAUCCUGAAUAGUUUAAAUGGGUAUAAAAUAAAUGACGAAGAGAGGUGAAGAUCAGCAAUAUUACACUGAUUUCCAAUAUUCUUACUUACAUUUAUUGAAUAGUGAGGGAAAAGUAUUCCUGUAAAUUUUUCAGACAAUGUGUAAGGUUCGAAUUUUGAUUUUGGCCUGUUUGACUAUGGCGUUGCUGGCGGUUGUUGCAGACGCCCUAUCGUGCCGAGAUCAAGGAAAUUCUCGAGGGGCCAUCUGCGUCUGGGGAUCUUGCCCUUCUGGCUGGCGAAGGGUUUUCUGGGACUCAGGGUGCCGCUCUGGUCAACGGUGUUGUAUCUAAAGUACAUACACGUCUCUCUUCACAGGGCCUAAUCUGACAAUGAGACACAAACUUUAGUAAAAAAUAAAUCAUUGUAACGUUACAAACAGCUCGCCCCUUGUAAUGCGGGGGAAAAUAGAUACAUUAUCUUGUUACAUGUACCUUUUUACCACUACACACCAAUGGAGGAAAUGGACAAAAUCGUCACAAUAGUUCGACAUAUAUUUGGCGACCUCUUCACAUCAAUGGUGCAGAAUAAGCGAGGAAAAUAAACAAUUUCGACUUUUGUCAAAAACCCGCAUGAAACCUUGAUAUCCAAAUUAUAAUUAUUUCUUCCGGUGGCUUCCGAAAAUAAAAGUUAUCCUGGAAAAUUGGUGUAGCUCGCACUAUGCAUUCGUUUUUAGUAUCCAUAUGUAUGUGUAUGUACAGAUAGAUUAGCAGGAGUAUUACGAAUAUUUUUAUGAGAUCGCAUCGAGAAGAAGCACUAAAUCAGGUUCAAUUAAAUACAUCAGCAAUAGUAAAUUACGCCAAAUAAUUACAUGUUGUAGGUUAAUAUAUGAAGUCUGAUGAUGGUUAGAAAAAAAAUGCAAGUUAAUUAUUAUUUGUAUCUAGUUAUACAUAAAUAUGUACUUGGACAGAUGUAUAGUUAGAUAUUCAACAGUUUAACCUUUCUACAUGACAUUAAAUUAUUUAUCUACGUA